rnacentral:rRNA from 1 species
UACGUAGGGUGCAAGCGUUGUCCGGAAUUAUUGGGCGUAAAGAGCUCGUAGGCGGUUUGUCACGUCGGCUGUGAAAACCCGAGGCCCAACCUCGGUCCUGCAGUUGAUACGGGCAAACUAGAGUGUUGCAGGGGAGACUGGAAUUCCUGGUGUAGCGGUGAAAUGCGCAGAUAUCAGGAGGAACACCGGUGGCGAAGGCGGGUCUCUGGGCAACAACUGACGCUGAGGAGCGAAAGCGUGGGGAGCGAACAGG